rnacentral:lncRNA from 1 species
AAUUGGAGAAUGGUAGUUCAUCCAUAGAUGUCACAUCAAUCUUCUUCAUCAUUUUUACCAGCGUUAUCUAAAUGCUGUAAUUGAUAUCAAAUUGCAAGACAGGAGGCCUGGCAAUAGAACCUUACAACUCAUCUCUCUUUAGAUGGCAUAUGGGGAAGACUGAUGACAGCUGGAUGCUGGAAAACCAUUGCACAGUGAUAUAAACAACUGAAAGGCUGAGUAAGAUUUCAGGAAUCACAGACAAGACUGUGCCUAAGUGGGGACAGGUAAAUAAAGCUUCCUAUCCCCAACGCCCUGCGCUCUGCACUAAUAGAGAUCCAGCUGCUGGGAGCAAUGAGAGCAGAGGUGAUGUUCGUGGGAUCAGUGCAACCCUGGAUUCUCUUGCCACCAGUCCUGUCUCCUGGGGAGCCAUUGAGUUAGUGGAAUCAGCAGUGGAAGAGAGGAUGAAAUGGUUGGCUAGGAUUCAGUUCCUGCAUUCUGAAGGCCAUCUGAAGGAGCUGCCAGCAUCAGCAGAGGCAGAAGGGAGAAGGUAUGCUGGCUCUUAAAGCUUCCGUGCAAGAUAAUUUCCCAUCACGUUUGCUCACAUUUCCUUGGCCAAAGCAAGUCAUAUGGCCAAGCAUGACUUCAAGAGGGAUAGGAAAAUAGAAUUAUCCUAUGGCUGGGGCAUUGGAUAUGGUGGAGUUGUGUGUCACCAUCUUCAGGCUGACUUCCCUUUCCCUUCAUGCGGAACAUCAUCUUUAAUAAAUCUUUUAAUUAGCAUCUAUAAGU